AUAUCAGUAAGCGGAGGAAAAGAAACCAACAGGGAUUGCCUCAGUAACGGCGAGUGAAGCGGCAACAGCUCAAAUUUGAAAUCUGGCUCCUUCGGGGUCCGAGUUGUAAUUUGUAGAGAGUGUUUCGGGGGAGACCGCGGUCUAAGUCCAUUGGAACAUGGUGUCAUAGAGGGUGAGAAUCCCGUAUGUGACCGAGGAUCGAACCCAUGUGAAGCCUCUUCGACGAGUCGAGUUGUUUGGGAAUGCAGCUCAAAAUGGGUGGUAAAUUUCAUCUAAAGCUAAAUACUGGCUGGAGACCGAUAGCGCACAAGUA
rnacentral:rRNA from 1 species